UCUUAUGGAUGGGCAAAGGAAGUGGUUUCUUGAAAUAGAAUACACUCUUAAUGAAGAUGCUAUGAG
rnacentral:pre_miRNA from 1 species